rnacentral:rRNA from 1 species
GAUGAACGCUGGCGGCGUGCCUAAUACAUGCAAGUCGAGCGAAGCGGGGGCGGGUGAGUAACACGUGGAUAACAUCCUAUAUGACUGGGAUAACUUCGUGGAACCGGAGGUAAACCGGCAACUUAUAGAUGGUGCAGCGAUGCAUUAGCUAGUGGGUAAGGUAACGGCUUACCAAGGCAACGAUGCAUAGCCGACCUGAGAGGGUGAUCGGCCACACUGGAACUGAGACACGGUCCAGACUCCUACGGGAGGCAGCAGUAGGGAAUCUUCCGCAAUGGGCGAAAGCCUGACGGAGCAACGCCGCGUGAGUGAUGAAGGUCUUCGGAUCGUAAAACUCUGUUAUUAGGGAAGCGGUACCUAAUCAGAAAGCCACGGCUAACUACGUGCCAGCAGCCGCGGUAAUUC